CUUUGACGUGCGGUACCAGCUUCAGAGCGCAGAAACUUUCCCGUUUCCUGCGGCGCUGACGCUGAUUUUUGGCUUAUUCGUUUGGUGAUGUGUUCUCUGUAAAACUUUCCAAAGAAGUGGCCUGUCAAACUAUGAGUUCUCUGGACACCAAUGAAACCCAAGACAUCACAUUCUGCUGUAUGACUUUUGACAUAUAUUUGAGGCAAAGCAUUCAGCCCCACUCUUCUUGCUCAUAUAAAAUCCCAUCCAGCUCAGUAAUUUCCCAUGGAAAGUUCUGGCAUUCUCUGCACUAUGGUUGUCUGCUUGCAGGGGUGUAGAUGUCAGUAAAUGCCAAUGGAUGUGGCCAUGGAUGCUCCUCCAUUUGAGGCUGACUACUGGAAUUCUCAUUUCUUCUUGGUGUCUAUUUAAAUGCAGCCACCUUCUAAAAGACAUUCAGUGCAAACAGCACUAGAUUGCAGCACACUGGUUCUAGUUCAGUGCUUCUGUUUUUAAAAUGUGUAGUUUACAAAAAAGAUAUAUAAAAAAGACAGUUUGGCUUCUUUCUUAUUAUUGUUGACUCAAUGAGUCUAGGCUAGAGUUAUAACUCUGUAAACUCCAGCUGAAUCUUCAAGCUUAGCCAGAUUCUUUCAUAAAUCAGAUUGAGUUGCUGAGAUUCUGAAGGACAAAAUAACUCUCAGUUAUGAGUGCACAGCUUCAGUUUGGUGAAAUGAUAUCUGGUUAUCCCCAAGAAACCUGAGCACCAACAUGAAAAUGAGAAAAAGAUUUGGAAAAAAAGGGGGGAAAAUUCAGGAGUGUAUUACAAGAGUGACUCUGCACAGAAAACUGCUUAAUAAUUCUGCUGAUAAAGUGUGAGCCAGAGAAGAAUUCAUUUUCCUCUCCCAGAGCUCAGCUGGGGUGACAGGAGUUUAAAGAAGAGCAGCUCUUUCAUAAAGGUGAGCAGGUAUGUCCUUCACACAGACAACAGGAGUUUGAAAACACUGAAGUCACUGCAAGCUCUGCUGUUGGCUUUUGGGAAGGCAGAAUUUUACCCUUUGAAAAGAUCUGCUGAGUAAAACCAGCCACUUGUACAUGUUUUCUCUUCAAAGUCCAUUCACCUUUCAAGAGCAUUUUGCUGCUUUCAGUUGCUUGCUUCUACAUGUCCAAUUUAAACAUGUUCUUCUCCACUUUUUUAUUUUCCAUAUGUUCUUUUUGCUUAAAGGGGAAAUUGGGCCUCAGGAAACAACAGCAAACUGAAUCCUGCUGGUGUUUGUAAAAGCACAAGUUAUCAACACUGGAAAAUGAUUAUACUGUUAAUAUCAAACCCCAAGAAAUUAAAUAUGCAUCAUUUGUGUCUGAAUGAACAAUUACUAUUGAAAAUAAUGCCUGAAAAAGAAAAACAAAGCUUUUCAGACAUAACAUGAAUUUUAACUUGGUUUUUUUUUUUUAGAAAACCAAUCAGGGUUUUAGUUUAUGCAUCAUUCUGUUCCCCACAAUAAUACUCUGUCUGUGCAAUCAGUGAUGAUAAAUGGUACAUAAUUGUAAACUUGAUAUUGGUUUUCAAUAUUGAAUUCAUCAUCCUGUCCUCUUAACACAUAUUAAAUACUUUAAAGAAUUUA